rnacentral:lncRNA from 1 species
CUCUUGUUCUGCUGCCUCCAAUCUAGAGGAGACAGGGAACUCCUGUACAACUCCCUUGGCUCCUCUCUGUCAGAAAUGUGUUUACUUCUGCUUACUUCUCCCAUUCUUCUCAGUUGUUCUCUUUUAAUAGUGCAGCAUCCCCUUUAAUCAUGGAUUUGAUCUUGGAAGAACUAAAUCUUAUGUAUCUAAAAAGAGCUGAGUGAGGUGAUGUCCCUUGUCACAAUACUCACUUGCAUUUGCAAGAGCAAUAAACACAGUAUUUAAAAUAUUCUCGGGUAUGAAUGUACAUCAUAUCUUCUGUUUCACAGUUAUUUCUUAUACUUGUGCUAUUACUUCAUACUUACUGCAAAGUAACUCACUCCUCUUUUGUGAACUUUAGGGCGAUGCUUCGCGUAUGUACUGUCUAUACGUGAAAUCGGCCUCUCUCUGCUGUUGGCUUCUGUGAUCAUUUCCAUGUAAUAUAUUUUGAUUAUCUGAUCCAAAUCUCUUAGGUGAAAAGCCAUCAAUAGUUCUUCAAGUCAAGCAUUUUUUCUCCCUUAGUUCUAUCACCAGUGUGCUUCCUUGGAAAAGUUUUGUGUGUAUUUUGCAUAGCCAGCAUGCUUUAACUGUCUUGUCUCUCUCCUAAAUGGAAGCGUGCUGUAUCCUUACAUUGCCUUAUAGGCCUCAAGUCAGCCCUGGAGUUCUGCAGCGUUGUUUGAAUUGGUCCUGCCUCUGGCAUACCUUGUCUCCAGGAUACACUGUACACAUUCUUUGCCCAGCUUCAAAUGUCUUCACCGAAUGGGUGUCUCAUGGCACCUUUCCAUAUGGCUUGCACUAACACAUAUUUCUCAUAAGAGUUGCUGCUCCUAUAUUUUUGCUGCAUGGCCACCAAAAAUAACAAGGUAUUUGGAAAAAUAUGCACGAUUCAUGACAAUCUCCUCUUUAAGAAUAGGCUGCUUGUCCUUCCACCUGCUUUACCUGCCUCUUGUCGGAUGAGGGACUUGCUGGAGGGUGUGCAAGCUGCUUCCUUCCAAAAGGCAUUAAGUUUUGGAGAAGAGGACAGGACAGAGACCAAGCUGGGAUGUCAUUUUUUUCAUAUAACUGUUCACAUCCUCUGCCAGCUGGGUUGGAGAAGUGUUUUGUCCAUUUGCUGUUUCUGCCAGCAUCCAAGAUGUUGAAGAAUUCCCUGACUUUCAGCACGGUUCUCUUGGAAAUAUUCCAAUCAUUUUCAAAAUGAAAAGCAGAGCAGAUCUUCUUCCUAAAUUCCCGAUUUUGCAGAAUUACCCAAAAUGUGGUGGGCACUCAGCAUAUUGCGAAGUGCCAUUUCCAAUAAAGCUUAGCCUUUUAAAUUGAUUUUGUUAUCA